CGAAAACGAAUUCUCUCUUGAGUGGAUCCUGAGUACGACGGAGCACGUGAAAUUCCGUCGGAAUCUGGGAGGACCAUCUCCUAAGGCUAAAUACUCUCUAGUGACCGAUAGUGAACCAGUACCGUGAGGGAAAGGUGAAAAGUACCCCGGAAGGGGAGUGAAAGAGAACUUGAAACCGUGUGCUUACAAGUAGUCAGAGCCCGUUAAUGGGUGAUGGCGUGCCUUUUGUAGAAUGAACCGGCGAGUUACGAUCUGAUGCAAGGUUAAGCAGAAAAUGUGGAGCCGUAGCGAAAGCGAGUCUGAAUAGGGCGAAUGAGUAUUUGGUCGUAGACCCGAAACCAGGUGAUCUACCCUUGGUCAGGUUGAAGUUCAGGUAACACUGAAUGGAGGACCGAACCGACUUACGUUGAAAAGUGAGCGGAUGAACUGAGGGUAGCGGAGAAAUUCCAAUCGAACUUGGAGAUAGCUGGUUCUCUCCGAAAUAGCUUUAGGGCUAGCCUCAAGUGAUGAUUAUUGGAGGUAGAGCACUGUUUGGACGAG
rnacentral:rRNA from 1 species